rnacentral:lncRNA from 1 species
GAGAGAGAAUAUAUGAGAAAGUGAAGAAGAGAAAAUGGGAGAGGGAGAGAAAACAUACAAUUAUGUAUGUCUGGAGCACACCAUAUUAAAGGAGGGAGUGGCAGAAAACGUGAGGUGGGAAUCAAAUCAUGCUGGGCUUUUUGGCCAGGCCUUUUAAAGGACCAUGGGCUGUUUGAGGGGCCAACAUCAUUAACUGAUUGUGCCUGCAGCCUGGCCUGUUGCCCACAGCGGUCUACCUGCCACACUGGGAAAGAUCGAGCAGAGACAGAGAAGAAAAGGAGGCUCCAUUUUUCAGGCUGCUCUCCCGCAGGCUCAUGUUUUGUGUUCAUGCCAGGCAGAGAACACAAAAUGUUCCAAUAAAUAAGUAUCAAAGGUUAGUGGUGAAAAUGAAGGAGGAGGAGGCAUUGCGUGAAAAACUAAACAUGCAAAAUAUUACACACAAAGAGAACCAAAAUGCAGGUUCACUGGAAAUGAUAGACAAUAUGUUAAAACAAGAGGAGAGAAGAGAGCUGAAAUAAUCAAAUGGAAACACACAAUUUAGGGCUAAGAUCUUGUUGUGUUCAGCCACAAAUGAUGGCCAGCAGUGAGGAAUCUGUGUGUUCUCCACACUCUUCGCUCCUGGGAAGUCAACUCACAUGGACCAUGAUAUCAAUAUCUGCUCCUUCCCCUAAUAUCUGUUUGACCUUGGGUCAGUUACUUAAACUUCCUAAGCCUUAGUUUCUUUGUCUGGAAAAUAGGGAUAGUUAUACCUACCACACAACCACUUUGUAAUGAAUAUGUUGGAAAUUAUAUGCAAAUUGGCUUCCGUUGGUGUUUGGAACAUAGUAGGUUUUUAACUGGAAUAUAAUAGCUACCAUUAUCAGUAUCAUCAUAUUAAUUUAUAUUUCCAUCUUCAGCCCUUAACCCAGGAUCUUCAGUAAAUGUUGAAUUCUCAAAUUUGUUAAAUUCACUUGUCUAUACUAAUAUUUUACUCUAGGUUUCUUAGAAUAUUCUAGAUAAUAUUAUUAUGUAGAAUAUGUUAUGUAAGCUUCAUCUUAUCUGUAAAUAUAGUUUUACUUUUUCCUUUCUAAUUUUUAUGUCGAUUACUUCUUUUUCUUGGCUUAUUGAAUUGGCUAGGAUUCCCGUACAGUGUUGAAUACGUGCAGCAAGACUGCACAUCUUGCCUUGUUCCUGGUCCCACAGAGAGAAUAUCCAGUACUUCACAAUAAGUAUGUGUUAAUUGUAGAUUUUAUUAGAUUGAGGAAGUUCCCUUUCCUUUCAAGUCAGUCUUUUUAUUUUAAACAUGUAUUGAAGUUUUGUCAAAUGUCUUCAUCUAUUGGAAUAAUUAUACAUAUCUCUUUUUUAUUCUGUUAAUAUUACAUUUCAAUCUUCUGUCUACCUAAAAUCCCUAGAAUAAUCUCCAUUUGGCUAUGAUGUGUUGUGCUUUUAUAUAUUACUGAAUUCUAUAUGCCAAUAUUAUUAAAAUUUUCUGUCUUUAUGAGAAA